rnacentral:rRNA from 1 species
UACGUAGGUGGCAAGCGUUGUCCGGAAUUAUUGGGCGUAAAGCGCGCGCAGGCGGUCCUUUAAGUCUGAUGUGAAAGCCCACGGCUCAACCGUGGAGGGUCAUUGGAAACUGGGGGACUUGAGUGCAGGAGAGAAGAGUGGAAUUCCACGUGUAGCAGUGAAAUGCGUAGAGAUGUGGAGGAACACCGAUGGCGAAGGCAGCCUCCUGGGCCAGCACUGACGCUCAUGCACGAAAGCGUGGGGAGCAAACAGG